GACAUAGCAACAACAUGUAUUAUUUGUAUUUAUUGCCCACCUCGGUUUGAAUUUACUCACAAAACAGAACAAUAACUGGGUAAAACAUUGCAGAGAUAUGCUAAAGGAAGAGACAAUGAAGCAAUUUCUCAAGUUAGCCUCAGGGAGGAACGCAAGACUGCUUCUGGUCACCCUUUCAACAUCACAAUGGGCAUUAGUCACAUGGCUCCCCUGGAGGAUCUUCCAUUAGCCACCAUCUUUUGGGGACUGAAGUUACUUGCUGAGCUGAAAUACUACACCUAGAUCAAUGAGAUCAAAGUACCUGAAUAAGAGUUCCCGGUGUAUAUUCUCCAUCAUCCAGGACAAGUUUGGAGCCAUACCAAAAGGCCAGUGCAUAACAUAAAAAGAUGAGACACCACAUGAAUCCAUGCAAAUGUCUUUUCCUGGAGAGAAGAGAGAAGACAUUCUUACCAGACCGAUCACGGCUGCUCCAAACCCAAUGAGAGGGCUGACAGAGAUAAUAACCAAGUGAACACAAAUCAAAAACAUCAAUAAAGACACAACCAAACGGCCACAUUCUCAAGUUUCUUAAGUCAGUGUAACUGACCAUUGAUACAAAUACUGGUGGGUGACCUUCAAAGCUUCUUUAUAAAUACAAUCUCAAGAUCUAGGGUACACUGAGUCCACUGUGGAGCAGGGACCU